AACGAACGCUGGCGGCAUGCCUAACACAUGCAAGUCGAACGAGACCUUCGGGUCUAGUGGCGCACGGGUGCGUAACGCGUGGGAACCUGCCCUUAGGUUCGGAAUAACUCCCCGAAAGGGGUGCUAAUACCGGAUAAUGUCUUCGGACCAAAGAUUUAUCGCCUUUGGAUGGGCCCGCGUUGGAUUAGCUAGUUGGUAGGGUAAAAGCCUACCAAGGCGACGAUCCAUAGCUGGUCUGAGAGGAUGAUCAGCCACACUGGGACUGAGACACGGCCCAGACUCCUACGGGAAGCAGCAGUGGGGAAUAUUGGACAAUGAGCGAAAGCCUGAUCCAGCAAUGCCGCGUGAGUGAUGAAGGCCUUAGGGUUGUAAAGCUCUUUUACCCGGGAUGAUAAUGACAGUACCGGGAGAAUAAGCUCCGGCUAACUCCGUG
rnacentral:rRNA from 1 species